UUUGCCUUGCUGCAGCACGAAUAUGGUCCACAACGUAGCGUUAUCGCCCCCUCCUCUUCUAUUUCCCAUCCUGUGUGUGCGCAAUGCUGCGACUUAUGUUACAUAUACUGCAACUCUCGUUUGCGGCAGAAUUGAUAAGGAAAAGUCGCUAAAUGCCAUCAAAACCCUCGGUGUCAAAACUCCCCAAUGGUUGCCUGAAAAGUAGCUGAAUUUGUCUCUAGAAUCCUUCACAAAUACAAUUCGCUGGAGAGGUCUGACUUAAUCGAAUCCACUCGACUAUUGCUGCGCGAGAUACGUAAUCAAUGUAUUUGGGAACCAGGCGUGGCAUUGUCAUGAAAGUGUUGUUCAAAAUGUUGGUAGAUAAAAGAAAGAGUCGUCUUUUGUAACUCGUUGUAGAACUUAGGUCAUUUUACGAUUCUCUGAUGGAAAGAUGCAAUGAGGAUGAGAGGCCCGUAACGUUAACUUCGGGAAGCAGUGCUCGUACCGUAGUUCUUGCUGUAAAAUUGACUAAUGGCAGUAUAAAGGGGGGGAAUUGCACAUGCAGGAACGCCCUGAAUUGCGCGUCGCAAUCACACCCUUCUAAACAAUUCCAUGAGGAGCGUUUGAAAAAGAAACACUUUAAUUGAACAGUUGCUAAUUCUACAGGAUUAGCAUUGAAAGAGUGACUAGCGGUGGAGAAAUCAGAGGGAAAUCAGAGGACACUGAUGCCCCCGUCCCGUUUCACAGCAAGCAUCCAGUCUGCCUCAAUCACAGUACCAGGGACUGCAAAGGGUGAGGGACCACACCAAUAACAUGGGUCACCCCUGCCACAACACCACCAAACCAGAGGAUUCUGAUCUGGAGAGAGAGCUGGAGAGGGAGUCUGGGGAGGUGGAGAGGCUGAGGAGUGAAGUGCAGACAGGAGGCCCAGAGGCUGAGCAGGGAAGCUGAGACAGCUAGGCUGCAGGCUUGGGAGGAAGUCAAGCAGGAAAUGCAGAAACUGAAGAAGCAACUGGAUGAAUCCAACAUGAAACGCAGAAGCUGAAUAAGGAGAAGAAGGCUCUGCAGGUGACAACAGAGUUUGACGGUCAGACUCAACUCUGAAUGACAUAUUGGCCCUACAAGAGGAGAUGAGGGUUGAGAAGGUCUCGUCUCUGGAGCAGGAGCUGAAGGAGAAGUACCAGUCUAGUGUGUUCCAGCACAGCCUGCAGGACAGAACAGCUGCGCUGGACCUGGAGAGGGUGGCUUGGGAGGCGUGAGAGGGGUCUGGUGAGUGAGUGUAAGGGCGCUCGGACCACAGCCCUGCAGACUUCUGUGGCCUUGGAGGAGCAGCAGCAGCAGAGACCCUCAGGGAAGAACAACACUCUGAAAGCCAAAGACAAGCUACAGACCGGAGACUCAGUGGUCCUCAGCUCAGAGGACGAUGUAGAGGAGGACGGGGUGGGGCAGUCCAGAGCCAAAAGAGAACUCUCAAAAGUGACCUUCUGCAAAAAGGCCUCACAGCAAGGAGGAGCAUGACAGGAAAAUCAAAUGAAUGGAUAGCCUCGAUCAAAACCGCGUGCUGCCUUCCACUGAAGAAGACUAAAUAACAGGCUGAGUUAUGACCCUAAGUGCUCUGAACUGUAGUACUGGAGAAAGGAGAUUGACCUCUGCUGAUGGUUUUGUAGUCUUGCUAUUGGUUGUGUUUAUAAAGACAUGAAUCAGCAUCUUCUUGGACAAAGCUG